rnacentral:misc_RNA from 1 species
AAGUCGUAACAAGGUUUCCGUAGGUGAACCUGCGGAAGGAUCAUUAAAAAAAUUAAAAUCAAAAAACGAGCACGUAUACUACAAGUACAAGUAUAAUAAAUAUAUUAUAAAUAUAAAACUUUUGGCAACGGAUCUCUAGGUUCUC